CUACGGGCGGCUGCAGUAAGGAAUAUUGCGCAAUGGAGGCAACUCUGACGCAGCCAUGUCGCGUGCAGGAAGAAGGCCUUAUGGGUCGUAAACUGCUUUUAUUUAGGAAUAAACCCCCGAACGUGUUCGGGGCUGAAGGUACUAAACGAAUAAGCACCGGCUAACUCCGUGCCAGCAGCCGCGGUAAUACGGAGGGUGCAAGCGUUAUCCGGAUUUAUUGGGUUUAAAGGGUGCGCAGGCGGGCUAUUAAGUCAGUGGUGAAAUCCCGGGGCUCAACUCCGGAACUGCCAUUGAUACUGAUAGUCUUGAGUUUGGUUGAAGUGGGCGGAAUGUAGCAUGUAGCGGUGAAAUGCAUAGAUAUGCUACAGAACACCAAUCGCGAAGGCAGCUCACUAAGCCAAAACUGACGCUCAUGCACGAAAGCGUGGGGAUCAAACAGGAUUAGAUACCCCAGUAGUC
rnacentral:rRNA from 1 species